UCGCCCAAUCAGCGUUUCCAGACGGGCGCCUCUAACUUCCCACCUCUACGCCUUAGCAACCAACUGACGUCACUUUGAAAGGCGUUCAUGUUGUCCAACUAAAACCUCCGCUCCCAUUUAAAAAUAAACCAAUGGCGGCCAAUCGCUUGCCGAAGAGCUCGGACCAAUGAGAACGAACGAGGGCAAACAAAUGACUAGGAGUGAAUACGCUUCCCUAUUGGGCGGCGUGAGAAACCACGCCCUCUUUGUGUAAUUGAAGAUAUCAAACUGCCUGACAACAGCGACUUCUUUAACUGGAGGGGGCGGAGUUGACGCGAAACGAGACUUACGAAAGGCACUACUUUUAAAUCAGGCGGAACCCACUCAGAUGCAAGGGGAAUUAGCUCAAAUGGUAGAGCGCUCGCUUAGCAUGCGAGAGGUAGCGGGAUCGAUGCCCGCAUUCUCCAAUUUUCUUCUUAGUUGUUUUCCCCCGUUAAUGCACAUGCUUUACAAAUCCUUAACUGGAAUUGUGGCAUCCGUUUGAAAAAAAGCUUCAGUUUCUAUUGUUUUUCUCUCGCUAACAUUGUCUCGCGGCAGAUCUUCUACACCUUCAGGGGUUGUGUAAACUGAAGCCCUAACAUAAUUUUUAACAGGGGAGGCUCACCCUUACAUGCAUCUGCUAGAGUCCAAAAAUCGACCCCUCUCCCCCAAAAACCUCUCACAUCUGCUAUUUCCAGGGUAGGGAGAGGAAGAGUGAAGGAAAAGUGGUCGAAGUGCUGAUGCAAAACACAAAAGUGCUUCAGACAUGUUUCAGUAAUGCCAAGUAGCAUCUUUCUCCAGUUCACUACAGUAUUUUUGAAUUCUAAUAAUCUUGAGCCUCUCGCUACUAAAGGUUCAUCAGAAAGGCUCAGUGAUCAUCCUGACUUCUCUGGGAUUUUUUCUGAAGAGAAAAGCCUCAUUAUUGCUCAGUGAACUGAAGAAGAGAAUGCCAGACUCCUUCAGAGGGCAUCAGGCUGGCCUGCAACUCAUAGCCAGCAACUUGGAAGGCUUUUUUAAAAAAUAAAAACAAACAAACCA